UCUGUUGACUUUUGAGGUCAAAAGACUUAUAUAUAUUAUGUCAACGUUGAAGUAACGUGGACUCAUACUGGACGCGGGGGCAGUACCCGCCGCCUCCACCAAAAUGAGUUUUAAAAUGGAUGAAGUAAUACUGUGGGAAUACAGAAAAUUUUUAGUUAAGUACAUAUGUAUUAAUAACUAUUCACCGAGGUAUGCAAGACUCAUUUUGAUGGGGGCGAAAUAGGAUCGACAGGUGGGAAAGUGACAUGGAGUUGGCCGGAUGAUCGCGCAUAGAUCAACAAAACUAAACGCAAACGAUAAUUUUGCACCUUCAGGUUAUGCGCUAGCCGCUUAAUUCUGACGGGUAUGAGUACCACCUUGGAACAGAAAGGGCUCAUU
rnacentral:tmRNA from 1 species